rnacentral:lncRNA from 1 species
AGGUUUGAUGAAUAAUCCCCUGGCUACUAAAGAAAGAUAUGCCCUCAAUGCUGGAUCCCAAUUCUAAGGCAUUGUCACUUCUAACAGUUUGAACUAUAGUGUUAAACUGAGUUUUAACAAAAUAGAUGAAAGACUUAAGUAGGGAAAAAGCAUUGCUUUUGGAUCCCAUUAAGUGUGUCCAGGUUGCCCUAGAAAAGUCAUCAACUAUAGU